GUGCUCGCUUCGGCAGCACAUAUACUAAAACUGGAACAAGUCAGAGAAGAUGAGCAUGGCCCCUGUGCAAGGACGACAUACAAAUUCGUGAAGUGUUCCACAUUUUU
ensembl:snRNA U6 U6 spliceosomal RNA